GUGCAAAGGUAGCAUAAUCACUUGUUCUUUAAAUAGGGACUUGUAUGAAUGGCCACACGAGGGUUUUACUGUCUCUUACUUCCAAUCAGUGAAAUUGACCUUCCCGUGAAGAGGCGGGAAUGCACUAAUAAGACGAGAAGACCCUAUGGAGCUUUAACUAAUCAGCCCAAAGAAAAAUAAACCAAACCGCUAAGGAGUAACAACACUCUUCAUGAGCUGACAGUUUCGGUUGGGGUGACCUCGGAGAAUAAAAAAUCCUCCGAGCGAUUUUAAAGACUAGACCUACAAGUCAAAUCGCUCUAUCGCUCAUUGAUCCAAAAAUUUUGAUCAACGGAACAAGUUACCCUAGGGAUAACAGCGCAAUCCUAUUCAAGAGUCCAUAUCGACAAUAGGGUUUACGACCUCGAUGUUGGAUCAGGACA
rnacentral:rRNA from 1 species